UACGUAGGGGGGCAAGCGUUGUCCGGAAUCAUUGGGCGUAAAGCGCGUGUAGGCGGUUCGGUAAGUCGGCUGUGAAAGUCCAGGGGCUCAACCCCUGGGGAUGCCGGUCGAUACUGCCGGACUAGAGUUCGGAAGAGGCGAGUGGAAUUCCCCGGUGUAGCGGUGAAAUGCGCAGAUAUCGGGAGGAACACCAAUGGCGAAGGCAGCUUGCUGGGACGGUACUGACGCUGA
rnacentral:rRNA from 1 species